UGCAAGUCGAGCGGUAGAGAGAAGCUUGCUUCUCUUGAGAGCGGCGGACGGGUGAGUAAUGCCUAGGAAUCUGCCUGGUAGUGGGGGAUAACGUUCGGAAACGGACGCUAAUACCGCAUACGUCCUACGGGAGAAAGCAGGGGACCUUCGGGCCUUGCGCUAUCAGAUGAGCCUAGGUCGGAUUAGCUAGUUGGUGAGGUAAUGGCUCACCAAGGCGACGAUCCGUAACUGGUCUGAGAGGAUGAUCAGUCACACUGGAACUGAGACACGGUCCAGACUCCUACGGGAGGCAGCAGUGGGGAAUAUUGGACAAUGGGCGAAAGCCUGAUCCAGCCAUGCCGCGUGUGUGAAGAAGGUCUUCGGAUUGUAAAGCACUUUAAGUUGGGAGGAAGGGUUGUAGAUUAAUACUCUGCAAUUUUGACGUUACCGACAGAAUAAGCACCGGCUAACUCUGUGCCAGCAGCCGCGGUAAUACAGAGGGUGCAAGCGUUAAUCGGAAUUACUGGGCGUAAAGCGCGCGUAGGUGGUUUGUUAAGUUGGAUGUGAAAUCCCCGGGCUCAACCUGGGAACUGCAUUCAAAACUGACUGACUAGAGUAUGGUAGAGGGUGGUGGAAUUUCCUGUGUAGCGGUGAAAUGCGUAGAUAUAGGAAGGAACACCAGUGGCGAAGGCGACCACCUGGACUAAUACUGACACUGAGGUGCGAAAGCGUGGGGAGCAAACAGGAUUAGAUACCCUGGUAGUCCACGCCGUAAACGAUGUCAACUAGCCGUUGGAAGCCUUGAGCUUUUAGUGGCGCAGCUAACGCAUUAAGUUGACCGCCUGGGGAGUACGGCCGCAAGGUUAAAACUCAAAUGAAUUGACGGGGGCCCGCACAAGCGGUGGAGCAUGUGGUUUAAUUCGAAGCAACGCGAAGAACCUUACCAGGCCUUGACAUCCAAGGAACUUUCUAGAGAUAGAUCGGUGCCUUCGGGAACAGUGAGACAGGUGCUGCAUGGCUGUCGUCAGCCCGUGUCGUGAGAUGUUGGGUUAAGUCCCGCAACGAGCGCAACCCUUGUCCUUAGUUACCAGCACGUAAUGGUGGGCACUCUAAGGAGACUGCCGGUGACAAACCGGAGGAAGGUGGGGAUGACGUCAAGUCAUCAUGGCCCUUACGGCCUGGGCUACACACGUGCUACAAUGGUCGGUACACAGGGUUGCCACGCCGCGAGGCGGAGCUAAUCCCAUAAAACCGAUCGUAGUCCGGAUCGCAGUCUGCAACUCGACUGCGUGAAGUCGGAAUCGCUAGUAAUCGCGAAUCAGAAUGUCGCGGUGAAUACGUUCCCGGGCCUUGUACACACCGCCCGUCACACCAUGGGAGUGGGUUGCACCAGAAGUAGCUAGUCUAACCUUCGGGAGGACGGUACCAUCGGUUGAUACAGCCUGCCG
rnacentral:rRNA from 1 species